AAACCAUGGUGAGGGCAUUGCUGUAAUAGUCCCUUGAAUCUUUCUCAAGUUUUAAAUAGAGAUUCACUAUCUUUUUGUAUAAAGUUUGUAAUAAAAUUUCUCAUGUGGGU